GUCUAAGUUCUUAGUUAUGUGGAGGUCAUCAUAAUGUAACGUAAAUACGGAAGUUGUACUAUUCAUUAUCCGAUGUUGGUUAUAAUUUAAUCAUUGACCCUUAACCUUGAUCGGCAUAAUCUCGUGAAAAUUGAGAUGAUCGAAUGAUUGAAGGAUAACACGUGGAAUGAUUUCAUGAACAAAGGUUCUAAAUUGAGUAUUUCUAAAGGUGAGUUUUGUUAUAUUCCCAUUGACUUAUGAUAAAUUGAUCAAGAAGGAUUUUUUUUUUCCCUAAAAUAUUAGAUAUUUUCCAGUAAUUAGACAGUAGACAGUACGGGGUCAAAAAUCAUGUCCUACAGGUAAACAUUGACCAUGCGUCACAUUUAAACAUCUUAAAAUAAUACAUUUGUUUACAUUGAGUUUUUCUUGCAUGAUAUAAUUCGUAUAUAUAGUAAUACAGAAGAUGAUCAUAGCCAUAUAAUUCAUAUAUAAUUGAUUAUUAUAUUUAAUAUGUAUAUUAUAACUCAUUCAAAAUCUCUUGUUGUUUUAUCAAGAAGUUUAUAUUUUCAUAAUGUUGUUUAACUUCUAAUUUAAUUAUUUCUAUAGACUACAACAUUUUUUUGUUUAUCUUUCUGAUGCAUAUGUAGCUUUAUGAACAUUAGAACAUAUAUACAUACAGACUGAGAAAAUAUGAUUGAUGUCAUAUAGCGUUUUUAUUCAUGAUUUUUGUAGCCUUAGUAUUAGAUUUUUGAAGGUGAUUAUUGUGUUCCAUUUUUAUUUUAUAAGGAGUAUUUUGUUUUUUCCAAUUUUUUUUAAGUAUUUGCAUGAAUGAAAAAGUGUUCAAGUUUUUUCUUGAUUGGUUGAGAUAUGGACUGGUCAUACUUUUCACGUUGCCAGAUUGUUACAAUAGUUUUUUACAAGGAAGUAUAUAAUUGAAGAUAUUCACUGAAUAUUUUUAGUUUGUUUUACUUGUAAACUAUUAAAUAUAAGUUAGCAUUUUAUAUAAAUGCAUGAUGAAUUAAUUUUAAUUGUGUUUUUCACUUUAGAAAGCAAAUUUGGUGUUUUUUCCUAUAUAAACAUGAGUUAUUUUUUUAAAUUUCAUUUUGAUGGAGGUUUUCAUGCUGAUCAUUUGUAUUUAUUUUGGUUGAUUUUUAAUUACUUUUUAUCUGUUUUACUUUAGUAUAGAAUAGAUUUGAUGAUUUCAUUUAUCAAUUUGCAUUUUUAUGGUAUUGCAGUUUUAUUUAGAUAGUUUUCUGAUAUCGGUUAGAUUUGAGGGUCAAUUUAUCUAAUACUGCUUUUGUUGGAUAUAUUUCCUGUUCAUUAUUAUUAUUAUAAAUUAGUAUUAUUUUUGUUUUUUUUUUUAUCCAUGUGAAAAAUAUUAAACUUCUUUUGAAUUUUAUUCUUUAUUGCAGCCAAAUGUAUUGUUGUCUUAUAUUAUGAAUUUGUACUGUUGGUUUUUAUUUAGAGAUUAAGUUUUUUUUUAUCUUAAACCAACUUCUGAAUAUUUCUAAUGAAAAGAGGGAGUGUUUUACUUGAGUUUUUGGGAUUUGUUUUAUGCUACUGGAUUCAUGUUAAUAAAGAAAGUUUUUCUUCCAAAUUUAUUUAAAAAAGAAGAGGGGAAUGAUCUUUCCAAGUUUGCAAUGUGUGUUGAUUUAAAGUUUGACGAGCGCAGGAUAAUUGUUUGGCUGAUAAAAAUAUAAUAUUGAAUCAUUUGAGGGCUUUCCAGUAUUUUUACGUAGGUGAUUCGUUUUAACUUUUUCCUUUUUUAUUACCAAAUGAAGUUGUAAAUAAAGUUUUUUAUUUCAUUUUAAAAUUCUUUGGAAAUGGUUGUACUGAUGCUAAGAAAGUUUAAAUUUGGUAAGAUGAAGAGAUUUAAUUCUGUUUAUUUCUAGCCCAUAUAUUGUGAGAUUCUUUGUUUCCAGCUAUUGAUUGUAUUUGAGACUUUUCUAGUAUUUUUUCAGUAUUUUAUUUGUCACUUAUUUUUUGUUAAGUCCAAGUAUACACUAGGUUUUUUAAUAGAUUAUUUAUUCAGUUAAUAUUUUCAUAUUUAUCUUUACAACUUUUAAGUCUGCCUAGCCAUAUUCCUUCUGUUUUUGAUCGGUUGAGUUUAAGACCUGAGAGUGUUCCAAAUAUUUCAAUAAUAUUUAAAGCAUAGCUAAUUUCCUGCUUGCAUUUUAAAAAAAGAGUUGUGUCAUCGGCUAAUUGUGAGAUUUUCAGGCUAUGUGUUUUAGAAUCUAAUUUUAUUUGAAAUCCCUUAAUACCAGUGUCUUGUCUUAUUUUGCAUGCAAGAAUUUCUACUGCUAUUGUAAAAAUUAGAGAACUGCACGGACAACCUUGACGUAUCCCACGAGAUACAUUUAUAAGUUUCUGAAAUCCACCCAUUAUUUAGCAUGCAGCCUUUAAUAUUCUUAUAUAAUGUUUUAACCCAUUUAAUAAAUGAGUUUGGUAGACCAAAUUUUAUAAGGGCUUCGUACAUAAAAUUCCAUUCUAAUGAAUCAAAAGCUUUUGAAAAGUCAAUAAAGAGUAAAGCACCAUCUAUGUUAAAAGUUUCAGCAUAGUCUAUAAUGUCUUGGAUUUGGCGUAUAUUAAAACCAAUAUAUAUAUUUUUGAUAUACCAUUUUGAUCUCCAUGAAUUAUUUUCAGCAGUAUUGGUUUUAAGCGCUGGGCUAUUGCAUAUGCAAUGAGUUUAGUAUCUACAUUUAAUAGCGUAAUUGGUCUAUAGUUAUCCAGUGACAAAGGGUCUUUUUUUUGUAAAUUAAAGAGAUUAUACCAAUCUUUUGUAUGGUUGUUAGUUCUCCGUCUUCAUAGCAUUUAUUAAAAACUUCAAAUGUAAAUUCUUUUAAAUUGCUCCAAAAAGUGCGAUAAAAUUCUACGCUUAGCCCAUCUAUUCCUGGAGAUUUAUUUAAUUUCAUGUUGAAUAUUGCUUUAGUCCAUUCUUCUAUGGUUAAGGGGCCCCCCAAGGAAUCACUUUCUUUUUCUGAUAGUUUGUGAUCAAUGUUGGUUUCAUUUAUAUAAUUUUUGAUAUCAUUUAAAUUUGGAGAAGUGCUUUUAUAUAAAUUUUCAUAGUAUGAUCUUUCUAUGUUUAGGAUUUCUGCGGAGUCUGUUACUAUUUUCCCUUGUUUAUUUUUUAGCGCUGUAAUGCUUUUUUUUGUUUGUCUUGAUUUUUCGAGGCCUAGGAAAUAUUUAGUAUUUUUCUCUCCUUCUUCUAAGCCAUUGUACUCUAGAUCUUAUUUUGAGCACCUUUAACUUUAUUUAAAUAGAGGUGUUCAAGUUCAUUUUCAAUGGUUUUAAUUUCUUUUUUUAUAAUUUGGCUUGCAUUUGUCUUCUCAUUUAGCUUUCUUAAUUUUAUUUCUAGAUUUUUUAUGUCAUUUUUAUUUUCAGAUGAUCUUUGUUUGCAGUAAGAAAGAGUUGCAGUUCUUACCUCUGAUUUAAACAUAUCCCAGAGUGUUUUUAAAUUUUUGGUGAGUAUUUGUUUUUUAUGGUUUUUAAUUAAGUUGUUUAUGAGGUCAAUAUAUUUUUGCUCUUUAAGUAUACUAUUGUUUAUUUGAAAGUAACCCCUGCCUCUUUCUUCUGAAUUUUGUCUAACUUGUAAUGAAAUGGCCUGGUGAUCAGUGUACGAGAUCAUUGCGGGUCGAAUAUCUACUUUCAUAACAUGCGGUCUUAUAUCAGGACUAAUCAAGAAGAAGUCAAUUCUGCUUGCUAUGUUUGUAUCAUUUUUCCUUCUCCAUGUGAAUUGACUAGUAUUUGGAUUAAGUUCUCUCCAUAUAUCUGUUAAAUUAUUUUUCUUUAUUAGUUUUUUUAAACUAUUUACAGGUUUGUAGUUUCUUGGGAGGAUAUUAGUUCUUCUAUCAUUAAUUGAGAGAGUUUCGUUCAUGUCACCUCCUAAUAUAAGGAUACCCAAACGAUUGUUUUCAAUUAUAUUUUGAACCUUUUUGAAAAAUUUGUUUCUGUUUUUGUGUUGAUUUGGAGCAUAUACAUUUAUUAGAGUAAAAAUAUUGUCAUUUAUUUCUAUGUUUAUCAAAAUUAUUCUACCUUCAUUAUCCUUUAUCUCGUUUAUUGUUUUACAUUUUAAAUUAUUUUUGACAAAGAUUGAAACACCUCUUGAUUGUGUGUUACCAUAACUAUGAAACAUUUUGCCAUCAAACUCAUUAUUUAUUGUUUGUUCAAUAUUUUCUAUAAAAUGUGACUCUUGAAUGAAAAGAAUGUUACAUUUUUGAUUUUUUGUCCAUAAUUGUAAUCUUUCUCUUUUGCUUUUUUGGCCUAAACCUUGACAGUUUAGUGAUAUCAUAUGAAGAUUUUCACCCAUUGUUUAGUUUAGAGUUUAAAUGUGUAGUUGAUAUCAAAACUACAUUUAGAAGGAGACAUAUUUGUUUUUACCUCAUAUUCAGAAAGUACUGUCAUUAAAUGUUUGGUUUUAAAGUUACACAAUGUACUAUAAAAACAUUGGUACAUGUACAUGAUUAUUUGUGAAUUUUAAAAAUAUAUACAGUACCAGUAAACAAAAUAUAUACACAUACUUAACCAUGUUCAUGAAAGUAAAUGAGACAUAGAAACACAAACAUAUAUUAGCAUACAUACAUGUACAUGUAUUUAAACACAUAUUUUCAUUUAUUUGUUCCCAUACAUUAGAUUGUACUAUUGCUUUUUUGCCAUAAUUUGAUACUAUAAAUAUAUAAUAAAAAGACAGAUAUUUUUGUUAUAUCAUGUAUAAUAAUUUCAUUUUUAUUUAUUUUUAGGUUUGUUAUUUUAACAGUAUAAUGAGAUUGUAGGACCAUGUUCAUGAUGUAGGAGUUUACCAUGUUUACAAUACUUACGGAAAC
rnacentral:lncRNA from 1 species